UCCAGGCCCUACGGGGCGCAGCAGGCGCGAAACCUCCGCAAUGCGGGCAACCGCGACGGGGUUAGCCGGAGUGCCCGUGCAUCGCACGGGCUGUCGGGGUGCCUAAACAGCACCCCAUAGCAAGGGCCGGGCAAGGCCGGUGGCAGCCGCCGCGGUAAGACCGGCGGCCCGAGUGGCGGCCACUCUUAUUGGGCCUAAAGCGUCCGUAGCCGGCCCAGUAAGUCCCCCGGGAAAUCUGGUCGCUUAACGAUCAGACUUCCGGGGGAUACUGCUGGGCUAGGGACCGGGAGAGGCCGAGGGUAUUCCCGGGGUAGGGGUGAAAUCCUGUAAUCCCGGGAGGACCACCUGUGGCGAAGGCGCUCGGCUGGAACGGGUCCGACGGUGAGGGACGAAGGCCUGGGGAGCGAACCGGAUUAGAUACCCGGGUAGUCCAGGCUGUAAACGAUGCGGGCUAGGUGUCACCGGAGCUACGAGCUCCGGUGGUGCCGGAGGGAAGCCGUUAAGCCCGCCGCCUGGGAAGUACGGCCGCAAGGCUGAAACUUAAAGGAAUUGGCGGGGGAGCACUACAACGGGUGGAGCCUGCGGUUUAAUUGGAUUCAACGCCGGGAAGCUUACCGGGGGAGACAGCGGGAUGAAGGUCGGGCUGAAGACCUUACCAGACUAGCUGAGAGGUGGUGCAUGGCCGCCGUCAGUUCGUACUGUGAAGCAUCCUGUUAAGUCAGGCAACGAGCGAGACCCGCGCCCUCAGUUGCCAGCGGGUCCCUUCGGGGACGCCGGGCACACUGAGGGGACUGCCGGCGCUAAGCCGGAGGAAGGUGCGGGCAACGGCAGGUCCGUAUGCCCCGAAUCCCCCGGGCUACACGCGGGCUACAAUGGCCGGGACAAUGGGUACCGACCCCGAAAGGGGUGGGUAAUCUCCUAAACCCGGUCUAACCUGGGAUCGAGGGCUGCAACUCGCCCUCGUGAACCUGGAAUCCGUAGUAAUCGCGCCUCAAAAUGGCGCGGGGAAUACGUCCCUGCUCCUUGCACUCACCG
rnacentral:rRNA from 1 species